GACGAACGCUGGCGGCGUGCUUAACACAUGCAAGUCGAACGAGUGGCGAAAGGGUGAGUAAUGUCUGGGAGACUGCCUGAUGGAGGGGGAUAACUACUGGAAACGGUAGCUAAUACCGCAUACCAUCAGAUGUGCCCAGAUGGGAGUAGCUAGUAGGUGGGGUAACGGCUCACCUAGGCGACGGUCCCUAGCUGUGCUGAGAGGAUGACCAGCAACAUGGGAACUGAGACACGGUCCUGACUCCUACGGGAGGCAGCAGUGGGGAAUAUUGCACAAUGGGCGCAAGCCUGAUGCAGCCAUGCCGCGUGUGUGAAGAAGGCCUUCGGGUUGUAAAGCACUUUCAGCGGGGAGGCGUUACCCGCAGAAGAAGCACCGGCUAACUCCGUGCCAGCAGCCGCGGUAAUAC
rnacentral:rRNA from 1 species